CGCCCCGCGGGGGUACCGGCCCUCCCGGCUUGGCCCUGCCGGUGUGUGGGCUGCGGGGUCCUAGCUCCCUGUGCUGCAGGCCCAGCCGUGCCUCCGGGCCUGCUGAGGGCCGUUACAGGGGUGGCGGUCUCUGUGAGGUUCCUGCCCCGGGAUUCUCCUGCUGGCGUUGAAAUAACGCCAGGGGCUGCGUGACAGUUUGGCAGCCUGUCCUUGGAAUUCCCCCACUGACGCUGUUGACUUCAGGCAUGUGCUACCAGUCCUUCAAGUGUUUCUUUAUUGGCCCCGGAGUGUCCCCUGUUGUUGUAACACUUGCUCUUUGGAAUGUUCCAAGGAAAGAAUGAAAGUCUAUGAACGUCUGGAAAAAAUAAGAGAUGGAAUGGAAAGGAGGACACACAGAGCCUCUGGCUCAGAGAAAAAGAAAGUAGGAAAUUGGAUCCUCUUAAGCAGGAGGAUAAUGUAUGCAUGCAUCUGACAAAUUAUUUCAUUAACAAGAACAGAGUUAAUUCUGCCAGAGAAAAAGACACUGUUAGUAAGAGGUAAAAAGGAGAGAACAUUUCUAAGCUACUCCCAGAGGGGGUGGUGUUUACCUUGUCUUGUACAUCUUCCAUAUGCUUGAUGUAAGUCUUCAAAGCAUCUCUUUGUGUUUCCCCAAUGCACUGAAUGUUUUGCUGUUGAAUAAAUCAAGUGAAGAAACUCAGAUGA